rnacentral:lncRNA from 1 species
CUACUUCUUGUAAGAAUCUGUAGAAGCCACGUGUUGAAAAUGGAAGAGUCCCAAGUUGGAAGGAGGUUGGGUGCUUCUAUCACCAUUUGAGGAAGAAUUACCCACUAGCUGAUCAGGGAUCAGCCAUUUUGAACAUUACACAAGCAGGAAAUGAACUUCUAUUGUGGAAGGCAACUCCUGAUCUCCACCUUGAUUUCACAUCAGAAAGACAUCAGAGAGACUCAGAGUGCAGCUGGGCAAUCCUCACAUUUUACACGCAAAGAAGAUAAAGCUCCGAGAGUUAGAAGCAUUGCUAGCAGUGAAACCCAGGACUCUGAGUCUACCUCUGCAGAGUGAUUGCAAGCUUUCUGAAGCAUGCUAUCCUUCUGAUUGAGACUGCCCAGAAACACAGGGGCUGAAAUGACAUUAGGGGCACUAGAGUGGUAAGCACAGAGUAUGAACAUGGAAAUUAUUAAUUCUAGGAAUCCAGCUGCAUUACAGCCCAAUUAUUUACAUAAUCUCAACAAUGGAAGUUUCAUACAUUUGGAGUUCAUUAAAUAAUUGUUCUAUCUUAUAAGAAAGUUGGAAUAAUGCAGUGGCUUACUCUGUGGAUCUAAAGAAAACAAUGGACUGUGAUCUUGACCCUGACUUCCCAAAAACAUAAACGCCUGUUCUUGAAACAAUUUCAAAGGAUUCCCAAACUCAAUGAAACUCACAAAUAAUCUACUAGGUGUUAAGGGACCCCAGAUUAAGAGUCCCUGGAAAAGAAAGACCUCAGGCUUUUAAAAAUUGACACAUGAGAUCUAAUUAAACUAAAGAGCUUCUGCACAGCAAAAGAAACUAUCAUCAGAGUGAACAGGCAACCUGCAGAAUGGGAGAAAAUUUUUGCAAUCUAUCCAUCUGACAAAGGGCUAAUAUCCAGAAUCUACAAAGAACUUAAACAAAUUUACAAGUAAAAAACAACCCCGUCGAAAAGUGGGCGAAGGAUAUGAACAGACACUUCUCAAAAGAAGACAUUUAUGCGGCCAACAAACAUAUGAAAAAAAGCUCAUCAUCACUGGUCAUUAGAGAAAUGCAAAUCAAAACCACAACAAGAUACUAUCUCACGCCAGUUAGAAUGGCAAUCAUUAAAAAGUCAGUAAAGAACAGAUGCUGGAGAGGACAUAGAGUAAUAGGAAUGCUUUUACACUGUUGGUGGGAGUGUAAAUUAGUUCAACCAUUGUGGAAGACAGUGUGGCAAUUCCUCAAGGAUCUAGAACCAGAAAUACCAUUUGACCCAGCAAUCCCAUUACUGGGUAUAUACCCAAAAGAUCAUAAAUCAUUCUACUUUAAAGACUCAUGCACACAUAUGUUUAUUGCAGCACUAUUCACAAUAGCAAAGACUUGGAACCAACCCAAAUGUC